rnacentral:rRNA from 1 species
AGUGAACGCUGGCGGCAGGCCUAACACAUGCCAGUCGAACGGCAGCACAGUAAGAGCUUGCUCUUACGGGUGGCGCGUGGCGGACGGGUGAGGAAUACAUCGGAAUCUACUUUUUCGUGGGGGAUAACGUAGGGAAACUUACGCUAAUACCGCAUAUGACCUACGGGUGAAAGCAGGGGUUCUUCGGACCUUGCGGAGUUGAAUGAGCCGAUGUCGGAUUAGCUAGUUGGCGGGGUAAAGGCCCACCAAGGCGACGAUGCGUAGCCGCACUGAGAGGAUGAUCAGCCACACGUGAGCUGGGACGCGGUGCCACAUCCGACGGGAGGCAGCAGUGGGAAAUCUACGACAAGGAGCGGAGGCCUGUUCCAGCCAUACCGCGUGAGUGUAGAAGGCCUUCGGGGUGUAAAGCCCUUUUGUUGGGAAAGAAAAACAGCAUUUUAACACCCCGCUUUUCUGACGGUACCAAAGAAUAAGCACCGGCUAACUUCGUG